rnacentral:rRNA from 1 species
AGAGUUUGAUCAUGGCUCAGAACGAACGCUGGCGGCGUGGAUAAGACAUGCAAGUCGAACGCUGAUUACGGGGUAGCAAUAUUCCGUGGUCGGAGUGGCGCAAGGGUGCGUAACACGUGGGUAAUCUGCCAUAAAGUUUGGGAUAACUCGCUGAAAGGCGAGCUAAUACCGGAUGUGAGAAUCGGAAGGCAUCUUUUGAUUCUCAAAGCUGGGGACCGCAAGGCCUGGCGCUUUUUGAUGAACCCGCGGCCUAUCAGCUAGUUGGUGAGGUAACGGCCCACCAAGGCUAAGACGGGUAGCUGGUCUGAGAGGACGACCAGCCUCACUGGAACUGAGACACGGUCCAGACACCUACGGGUGGCAGCAGUCGAGAAUUUUUCACAAUGGGCGCAAGCCUGAUGGAGCGACGCCGCGUGGGGGAUGAAUGGCUUCGGCCCGUAAACCCCUGUCAUUUGCGAACAAACCUCGCUAUUUAAAAGAUGGCGAGCUGAUUGUAGCGAAAGAGGAAGGGACGGCUAACUCUGUGCCAGCAGCCGCGGUAAUACAGAGGUCCCAAGCGUUGUUCGGAUUCACUGGGCGUAAAGGGUGCGUAGGUGGUGGGGAAAGUCUGAUGUGAAAGCUCCAAGCUCAACUUGGAAAUGGCAUUGGAAACUACUCUGCUCGAGGGUUGGAGGGGGGACUGGAAUACUUGGUGUAGCAGUGAAAUGCGUAGAUAUCAAGUGGAACACCAGUGGCGAAGGCGAGUCCCUGGACAACUCCUGACACUGAGGCACGAAAGCUAGGGGAGCAAACAGGAUUAGAUACCCUAGUAGUCC